rnacentral:rRNA from 1 species
CACGUAGUUAGCCGGGGCUUCUUAGUCAGGUACCGUCUGCUGACCGUAAGGUCAGUAUUUCUUCCCUGCUGAUAGAGCUUUACAUACCGAAAUACUUCUUCACUCACGCGGCGUCGCUGCAUCAGGGUUUCCCCCAUUGUGCAAUAUUCCCCACUGCUGCCUCCCGUAGGAGUUUGGGCUGUGUCUCAGUCCCAAUGUGGCCGUUCACCCUCUCAGGCCGGCUACUGAUCGUCGCCUUGGUGGGCUGUUACCCCGCCAACCAGCUAAUCAGACGCGGAUCCAUCGUAUACCACCGGAGUUUUUCACACUGCUUCAUGCGAAGCUGUGCGCUUAUGCGGUAUUAGCACCUAUUUCUAAGUGUUAUCCCCCAGUAUACGGCAGGUUCUCCACGCGUUACUCACCCGUCCGCCACUAACUCAUACAUCACUAGGUUUCAAUAUGAGCCCGUUCGACUUGCAUGUGUUAAGCACGCCGCCAGCGUUCAU